rnacentral:rRNA from 1 species
GAGUUUGAUCCUGGCUCAGAUUGAACGCUGGCGGCAGGCUUAACACAUGCAAGUCGAACGGUAACAUGAGUGCUUGCACUUGAUGACGAGUGGCGGACGGGUGAGUAAUGUAUGGGGAUCUGCCGAAUGGAGGGGGACAACAGUUGGAAACGACUGCUAAUACCGCAUAAUGUUGAGAAACCAAAGCAUGGGACCUUCGGGCCAUGCGCCAUUUGAUGAACCCAUAUGGGAUUAGCUAGUUGGUAGGGCAAAGGCUUACCAAGGCGACGAUCUCUAGCUGGUCUGAGAGGAUGACCAGCCACACUGGAACUGAGACACGGUCCAGACUCCUACGGGAGGCAGCAGUGGGGAAUAUUGCACAAUGGGGGAAACCCUGAUGCAGCCAUGCCGCGUGUAUGAAGAAGGCCUUCGGGUUGUAAAGUACUUUCGGUAAUGAGGAAGGUGGUGUAUCUAAUAGGUGCAUCAAUUGACGUUAAUUACAGAAGAAGCACCGGCUAACUCCGUGCCAGCAGCCGCGGUAAUACGGAGGGUGCGAGCGUUAAUCGCAAUGACCGGGCGUAAAGGGCAUGUGGGCGGAUAAUUAAGUUAGGUGUGAAAGCCCUGGGCUCAACCUAGGAAUUGCACUUAAAACUGGUUAACUAGAGUAUUGUAGAGGAAGGUAGAAUUCCACGUGUAGCGGUGAAAUGCGUAGAGAUGUGGAGGAAUACCGGUGGCGAAGGCGGCCUUCUGGACAGAUACUGACGCUGAGAUGCGAAAGCGUGGGGAGCAAACAGGAUUAGAUACCCUGGUAGUCCACGCUGUAAACGAUGUCGAUUUGGAGUUUGUUGCCUAGAGUGAUGGGCUCCGAAGCUAACGCGAUAAAUCGACCGCCUGGGGAGUACGGCCGCAAGGUUAAAACUCAAAUGAAUUGACGGGGGCCCGCACAAGCGGUGGAGCAUGUGGUUUAAUUCGAUGCAACGCGAAGAACCUUACCUGGUCUUGACAUCCACAGAAUCUUGCAGAGAUGUGAGAGUGCCUUCGGGAACUGUGAGACAGGUGCUGCAUGGCUGUCGUCAGCUCGUGUUGUGAAAUGUUGGGUUAAGUCCCGCAACGAGCGCAACCCUUAUCCUUUGUUGCCAUCGGUUAGGCCGGGAACUCAAAGGAGACUGCCGUUGAUAAAGCGGAGGAAGGUGGGGACGACGUCAAGUCAUCAUGGCCCUUACGACCAGGGCUACACACGUGCUACAAUGGCGUAUACAAAGGGAGGCGA